UUCGAGGAUUUUUUUUUUUAAAGCCUAUGUGAGUACUAUUGUUUUGGUUGCAGCUUUAGCCCGCUCAAUAUAUUCUAAAAGACAGCCAUGAUUGAUGAAAUUUACGACGGAACAGAAUUGGAGUCAGAUAAAAAGGGAAAUACUUUUGUGUGCAGGAGGAAAUACUAGGUCCUGCUCUUCUUUGUAUGCAGGCUUGUCCUAUGUUUCUAAGGUUCUGGACCCCUGUUCUUUUGGUGCAUUUCUUGUGAAACAUCACUGGAACUCUCUCCUCUUUGUCGUUUUGAGUGCAGGCUAAGCAUAGACGAGGCCAUUACCUUUGUGAACCAAAAUAAAAAAUAUUGCUAUGGAACAUCUAUCUUCACGGGCUCCGGGGCACUUUUGAGGAAAUUCCAGAUUGAGAUUGAAACAAGGCAGGUUUGCAUAAAUACUGCUGUUCCUGCUCCUUUGCCCCUCUUCUCUCUCGCAAGCUCAGAAUUGUCUUUCGUUGGGGAUCUCAAUGCCAAUGGCAAAGCUGGUGUACACUUUUACACCCAAGUAAACACAGUGACUCGGCAGUGGAGGGAAUUCUCCAGUAGUGGAGGAGGAACACCAACAGUAUCAUCGAACUAUCUGCAAAGUAAUGAUGGACUAUGUGUCCAUAAUAUGGCUUUACACCUAAAGAAUUUCCCAGUUUGUGAUGAUGAAUCCCUGGGAGAACAUUCAAGGGAUAUCCCAAGUGUUAGUGAUAUAUCCCCACCGACAAUACCAACAUCUGAUGGAUCUCAUUGGACAUUGAACUUUUGAAUAGCAACUAUAUAUAUUUGGAACUCGAAAAAUGUGAAUAUUAGUUACAGUUUUGUAUGCUAUAGGAUUAAUUUUAGGGAUGAAAUUAUUUUUCACUUAACAUUAACGGUCAAAUGAUUCUCGCAAUUAUGUACGAUGAAACGACAA